UAGGGAAUCUUCGGCAAUGGACGGAAGUCUGAUCGAGCAACGCCGCGUGAGUGUAGAAGGUUUUCGGAUCGUAAAGCUCUGUUGUCAGAGAAGAACGUUGGUAGGAUUGGAAAAUCUACCAAGUGACGGGAACUAAUCAGAAAGGGACGGCUAACUACGUGCCAGCAGCCGCGGUAAUACGUAGGUCCUGAGCGUUGUCCGGAUUUAUUGGGCGUAAAGCGAGCGCAGGCGGUUCUUUAAGUCUGUAGUUAAAGGCAGUGGCUUAACCAUGGUACGGUUUGGAAACUGGAGGACUUGAGUGCAGAAGGAGAGAGUGGAAUUCCAUGUGUAGAGGUGGAAUGCGUAGAUAUAUGGAGGAACACCGGUGGCGAAAGCGGCUCUCUGGUCUGUAACUGACGCUGAGGCUCGAAAGCGUGGGGAGCAAACAGG
rnacentral:rRNA from 1 species